AGAUUGAACGCUGGCGGCAUGCCUUACACAUGCAAGUCGAACGGUAACGCGGGGCAACCUGGCGACGAGUGGCGAACGGGUGAGUAAUAUAUCGGAACGUGCCCAGUAGUGGGGGAUAGCCCGGCGAAAGCCGGAUUAAUACCGCAUGAGACCUGAGGGUGAAAGCGGGGGAUCGCAAGACCUCGCGCUAUUGGAGCGGCCGAUAUCAGAUUAGGUAGUUGGUGGGGUAAAAGCCUACCACGCCGACGAUCUGUAGCUGGUCUGAGAGGACGACCAGCCACACUGGGACUGAGACACGGCCCACACUCCUACGGGAGGCAGCAGUGGGGAAUUUUGGACAAUGGGCGCAAGCCUGAUCCAGCCAUGCCGCGUGCGGGAAGAAGGCCUUCGGGUUGUAAACCGCUUCUGUCACGGAAGAAAUCUUCUGGGCUAAUACCUCGGGAGGAUGACGGUACCUGAAGAAUAAUCACCGGCUAACUACGUGCCAGCAGCCGCGGUAAUACGUAGGGUGCGAGCGUUAAUCGUAAUUACUGGGCGUAAAGCGUGCGCAGGCGGUCUU
rnacentral:rRNA from 1 species